GGGGCCUUAGCUCAGUUGGUAGAGCGCUGUCUUUGCAUGGCAGAUGUCAGGGGUUCGACUCCCCUAGGCUCCACCC
rnacentral:tRNA from 26 species